rnacentral:rRNA from 1 species
GCUAGCGUUGCUCGGAAUCACUGGGCGUAAAGCGCACGUAGGCGGAUCUUUAAGUCAGGGGUGAAAUCCCAAGGCUCAACCUUGGAACUGCCUUUGAUACUGGGGAUCUCGAGUCCGGAAGAGGUGAGUGGAACUGCGAGUGUAGAGGUGAAAUUCGUAGAUAUUCGCAAGAACACCAGUGGCGAAGGCGGCUCACUGGCCCGAUACUGACGCUGAGGCACGAAAGCGUGGGGAGCAAACAGG